ACUCUGUCAUCCAGACUGGAGCGCAGUGGCACCAUCUUGGCUCACUGCAGGCUCGACCUCCCAGGUUCCAGUGAUCUUCCCACGUCAGCCUCCCAAGUAGCUGGGACUGCAGUGGCACAGUAUUCCGUGGUGUGGAUGUAGUUCUUGAUGGUGGACCCUUGGAUUGAUUCUAAUCUGCUAUAAACAGCAAUGCAGUGAAUGGAUUUUUCAUAUGAAUGCAAGAGUGCCUUAGGACAAAUUUCCAGACUGGGACUGCAGGAUCAAAGGAGACAGAGUUUCACCACGUUGUACAGGCUGGUUUUUGAACUCCUGGGCUCAAGCAAUCCAUCUACCUCAGCCUCCCAAAGUACUGGGAUUACAGGCAAGAGCCACCAUGACCAAACAAGAUGUCUUUAAUACAGGUAUUUCCUUGUAUGUCUUUAAUUUUGUGCUUU
rnacentral:lncRNA from 13 species